rfam:Erinaceus europaeus unplaced genomic scaffold scaffold00893, whole genome shotgun sequence
GGAUAUGAGAGAAAUCUGGCUGCAACACCUGUCAUCCCAUUGAUCACUAGGGAUGAUUCGGCACAUAGGGCUGGCUAGGUGGGUAUUCCCUUCAUCCCUCAUCACUCCAUGUGCAUCCCUCACAAAGCUUUUUGCUCAAUAGAAGAGACAGCCUUUCCUGAAUAGAGACGGACCAGUCUUCAGUCAAGGGAAUACAAGUAGCUGUACUCCCCUGCUAGAACCUCCAAACGAGCUCUCAUAGUUCUUCCCCAUGCUCUUUCAGUCAUGGUUUAGGUGAAUCCUCCAGGACCACUGUAGGUUUUAAAGACAAUGCUGGCUGUAGCCCUUGCACAUGGAACAAUACCAUGCCAAGAAAU